AUUGAACGCUGGCGGCAGGCCUAACACAUGCAAGUCGAACGAGUGGCGGACGGGUGAGUAAUGUCUGGGAAACUGCCUGAUGGAGGGGGAUAACUACUGGAAACGGUAGCUAAUACCGCAUACCAUCAGAUGUGCCCAGAUGGGAGUAGCUGGUUGGUGGGGUAACGGCUCACCAAGGCGACGAGCCCUAGCUGGUCUGAGAGGGUGACCAGCCACACGUGAACGGAGACACGGUCCAGACUCCUACGGGGGGCAGGAGUGGGGAAUAUUGCACAAGGGGCGCAAGCCUGAUGCAGCCAUGCCGAGUGUAUGAAGAAGGCCUUCGGGUUGUAAAGUACUUUCAGCGGGGAGGCGUUACCCGCAGAAGAAGCACCGGCUAACUCCGUGCCAGCCGCCGCGGUAAUUC
rnacentral:rRNA from 1 species